GCCUCCUGGGCUGCUGCCCCAACGCGUUCCAGUCGCGCAACGACCGCGUGGUAGGAUAUCCGGCUCCGUGGCUUUUGCUUCGGUGUUUCCUAGGCAUCGUCGUGCAGGGAGUGUCGAGCCCGCCCAAAAUGGUCGUUUCCCCUACAGUUUCCUGUACCUUUUGAGAUGUCCGUCAUUCUGUCUGGUCCUGCCAUUGAUCCAUGCCAUUUGCUACUGAGAUGUCUUCAUUCCUGUCUGCCUAGUCCCAUCAGGACAAAAGAUGAAUCAUAAAAAAA